CGAAAGCCUGACGGAGCAAGACCGCGUGGGGGAUGAAGGCUCUUGGGUUGUAAACCCCUUUUCUCAGGGAAGAAGUUCUGACGGUACCUGAGGAAUCAGCAUCGGCUAACUCCGUGCCAGCAGCCGCGGUAAGACGGAGGAUGCAAGCGUUAUCCGGAAUUAUUGGGCGUAAAGCGUUCGUAGGUGGCUGUUCAAGUCUGCCGUUAAAGACCGGGGCUUAACUCCGGAAAAACUGUGGAAACUGAACAGCUAGAGUAGGGUAGGGGUAAGGGGAAUUCCCGGUGUAGCGGUGAAAUGCGUGGAUAUCGGGAAGAACACCGGUGGCGAAGGCGCCUUACUGGACCCUAACUGACACUGAGGGACGAAAGCUAGGGGAGCG
rnacentral:rRNA from 1 species